rnacentral:tRNA from 1 species
GGUACAGUGACUUAGUUGGUUAAAGCACCUGUCUAGUAAACAGAAGAUCAUGGUUUCAAAAGCCAGCUGUGCUU